AGGACUUCCCACAGAAGGGCAUUAUUUGAAACAAAACUGGUAUUUCAACUUUGGUAUCAGCCCAAGUCCUACACUCUAAUAAGAUCUGAGAGGAGUGUCUUGAUCUUCCAGGAAGGAGAGGAGUAUCCUGAUAUCAGACCCAAGAAUGGGCAUAUCACCUAUCCUACAGAGUACACAUGGAGUUUGGAUCUGGAAAUGGACUCCCUUAAAAUGAUCUGCACAUAAGGAUUCUUUAUAGAGAUUUUUCAACUACCCUUGGGGACAUGGUACCCUACACCCACAGAAAAAGGUCAUUUGUCUUCUGACUGGAAGGAUCCAUUGGAACAAGAACUUGAUAUUGGCCCUGGGAGUGGAGUCCUGGAGAGGGCUGGAAGGAACAAAUCCCAGGCACAAGGAAGAACAAACCCUAGCUGGGGAUGUCUGCUCUUCUCAAUAAACCUGCUCUGUCUUCAA